UUCCCUUAAUGUUUUAAACGGUUUAAAAACUGGGCAUUUUGAACAUUCAGAGAACAUUCAGCAAUGAUAUUUGUAUAAUUGAAUGGGAGCGUCUGGGUUAUCUGGUUUGUGUUUGUUGUGUAGGACGUGCUAUGCAGCUGCGGCCCACUCUCAUCGAAGACUUCAAGACCCUGGUGGCUGAGCAGGGAAUGAGUGAAGACACUAAUCAAAAAGUACAAAGGUGAAUGUAUUCCAGGUGAGCAGGUCACACCAGAGCCACAGAUCCAGAGGGCGAGGAGGAAUGUGGUCCUGCCGGCCCCUGAGGAGGGAUCGGGGGACGAUACACCCAUCUUCAGAGGACCUGG